AUGAGUGACUCGCAGAUCGCCGCCGACGCCGGAAGCGACCGCCUGAGCAACCUCCGCGACGGCGUAAUCGGUCACAUCCUCUCCUUCCUCGAAACCAGGGAGGCCGCUCGCGCCGCGACGCUCUCGUCGCGGUGGCGCCACGUCAUGGCCAGCGUCCACACCGUCUCCAUGUCCAUGGAGCUGCCGGAGCGGCCCGCCUUGGGCUACGGCUACGAUGGCCGGUACGACCGCAACAAGGUGCGGCCAUUCAUCGCCGACGUCACCGCCGCCCUCCUCUCCCGCAACCGUCGCCCGUCCCCCGCCGCCGCCGCGGUGCCCCUGCGCGCGCUCCGCGUAUCCAUGGAAAGAUACUGCCCCGACGAGAGGUCCAAGGUGGACCAGUGGGUCUCCUACGCCCUGUGGCAUGCCGCCCCAGAGUUCGAGCUCGACCUCCGCCUUGGCCGCGGCCCCAUCUGCAGUGGCCCCGGCAGCCUCCACCGCUUCCAUGACGAUGUCGCCGCCGAUAGCCUUGUUGGGGAUCAAGCCGUCGCCGGGAAUCCUCCGAUGUCUGACCCCGAGGUCCCCGACGACAACCGUUCCCUCCGUGCGCACCCUGAAGACGAUGUCCCGUCCAGCGACGAUGAGGAGACGGCAGCUCGGUCGUGGAAUCCUCCGCCGUCUGGAGAGUACACCUACACCGUCCCGAGAGGACUCUUCUCUUGCGCCGCGCUGCGAUCGCUCCGUCUAGGCUACUGCAGGCUCUCCCCGCCGGCAGCCGUCAGCCUGCCAGCUCUCGAGGCCCUCCACCUCACCCACAUCCACGGAGACGAGGAGGAGCAUGUGCAGAGGCUGAUCUCCGGCUGUCCGCGCCUGGCCGACCUGACGCUCGAGGCUUGCGGCACGGUGACCGCGCUAUCCCUCCUCAACAACCCACACCUCCGCAGGCUCGCCCUCCGGUGCUGCCACAACCUAUCCAGCCUUGCCGUCGACACGCCGGAGCUCGACUCCUUCGAGUACCGUGGCGCCGUCCCCGACAGCUCGGUCCUCACCGUGGACGGACCUUCCGUCCGUCACGUCGUGCAAGGUCGACAUCUGCACGACGAUCCGCCCCCUCGAGGAGGCGGGGGAGCGCGUCAAGCUGGGUUCGUUCCUGCAUCAGCUGGCCUCGACCGCGAAACACCUCCAGUUAUGCUCCGCUCGCAUGGGCUCGUGGUUCGUGGAUCUCCCCCUGCUCCCCGCCCUUCGUCAUCGCCACGACGAGCACCAUCCUCCGGCGAGCCCCGAACCUGGAGCUACUGA
rnacentral:rRNA from 1 species